rnacentral:rRNA from 2 species
UGCUAUACAUGCAAGUCGAACGAGUUCUGAUUAUUGAAGGGUGCUUGCAUCUUGAUUUAAUUUUGAACGAGUGGCGGACGGGUGAGUAACACGUGGGUAACCUGCCCUUAAGUGGGGGAUAACAUUUGGAAACAGAUGCUAAUACCGCAUAAAUCCAAGAACCGCAUGGUUCUUGGCUGAAAGAUGGCGUAAGCUAUCGCUUUUGGAUGGACCCGCGGCGUAUUAGCUAGUUGGUGAGGUAACGGCUCACCAAGGCAAUGAUACGUAGCCGAACUGAGAGGUUGAUCGGCCACAUUGGGACUGAGACACGGCCCAAACUCCUACGGGAGGCAGCAGUAGGGAAUCUUCCACAAUGGACGCAAGUCUGAUGGAGCAACGCCGCGUGAGUGAAGAAGGCUUUCGGGUCGUAAAACUCUGUUGUUGGAGAAGAAUGGUCGGCAGAGUAACUGUUGUCGGCGUGACGGUAUCCAACCAGAAAGCCACGGCUAACUACGUGCCAGCAGCCCGCGGUAAAA